rnacentral:rRNA from 1 species
AUGCAAGUCGAACGGGAAACCUUUUAUUGAAGCUUCGGCAGAUUUAGCUGGUUUCUAGUGGCGGACGGGUGAGUAACGCGUGGGUAACCUGCCUUAUACAGGGGGAUAACAGUCAGAAAUGACUGCUAAUACCGCAUAAGCGCACAGGACCGCAUGGUCCGGUGUGAAAAACUCCGGUGGUAUAAGAUGGACCCGCGUUGGAUUAGCUAGUUGGUGGGGUAACGGCUCACCAAGGCGACGAUCCAUAGCCGGCCUGAGAGGGUGAACGGCCACAUUGGGACUGAGACACGGCCCAGACUCCUACGGGAGGCAGCAGUGGGGAAUAUUGCACAAUGGGGGAAACCCUGAUGCAGCGACGCCGCGUGAAGGAAGAAGUAUCUCGGUAUGUAAACUUCUAUCAGCAGGGAAGAUAGUGACGGUACCUGACUAAGAAGCCCCGGCUAACUACGUGCCAGCAGCCGCGGUAAUACGUAGGGGGCAAGCGUUAUCCGGAUUUACUGGGUGUAAAGGGAGCGUAGACGGACUGGCAAGUCUGAUGUGAAAGGCGGGGGCUCAACCCCUGGACUGCAUUGGAAACUGUUAGUCUUGAGUGCCGGAGAGGUAAGCGGAAUUCCUAGUGUAGCGGUGAAAUGC